rnacentral:tRNA from 1 species
UCAGUGGCCGAGUGGAUAACGCGAUUGCGUUUGAAGCGAAAGGUACUUGGUUCGAGUCCCAGAGUGA